CAUGCAAGUCGAACGAGGAUAUAUCCUUCGGGAUAUAAGCCGAGUGGCACAAGGGUGAGCAAUGCAUAGAUUACCUACCUUUAGGAUAAGGACAACUUUGUGAAAACGGAGCUAAUACUUAAUAAUACAAAAGAAAAUAAUUUUCUUUUGUCAAAGGGAGGGUAGCAAUACCUUUCGCCUAGAGAGGGGUUUAUGUCCUAUCAGCUUGUUGGUGGGAUAAUAGCCUACCAAGGCGAAGACGGGUAGCCGGUUUAAGAGGAUGGUCGGCCACACUGGGACUGAGACACUGCCCAGACUUCUACGGAAGGCUGCAGUCGAGAAUCUUUCGCAAUGCCCGAAAGGGUGACGAAGCGACGCCGCGUGGGUGAAGAAGGCCUUCGGGUUGUAAAACCCUGUCAGGAGUUAUGAAAUGUGAAUGCGCUAAUAUCGUGUUUAUUUGACAAAGGCUCCAAAGGAAGCCACGGCUAACUCUGUACCAGCAGCCGCGGUAAUACAGAGGUGGCGAGCGUUGUUCGGAAUUAUUGGGCGUAAAGAGCACGUAGGUGGGUUUGCAAGUCAGAUGUGAAAGCCUUCUGUUCAACGGGAGAAUUGCAUCUGAAACUGCUAAUCUUGAGUAUAGGAGGGGAGAAUGGAACUUCUGGUGGAGCGGUGAAAUGCGUAGAUAUCAGAAGGAACGCCGGCGGCGAAAGCGAUUCUCUGGCCUAUUACUGACACUCAGUGUGCGAAAGCUAGGGGAGCAAACGGGAUUAGAUACCCCGGUAGUCCUAGCCGUAAACGAUGGGCACUAAGCAGAGGGGAUUACCUAUGUUCUCUCUGCCGUAGCUAACGCAUUAAGUGCCCCGCCUGGGGAGUACGGCCGCAAGGCUAAAACUCAAAAGAAUUGACGGGGGCUCGCACAAGCGGUGGAGCAUGUGGCUUAAUUCGAUGCAACGCGAAAAACCUUACCGGGGCUUGACAUGAUAGAAGUAGGAACCUGAAAGGGGGACGAACGGUAUCCAGUCCGUAGCUAUUACAGGUGUUGCAUGGCUGUCGUCAGCUCGUGUCGUGAGACGUUGGGUUAAGUCCCCUAACGAGCGAAACCCUUGUUUUUAGUUACCAGCGGGUUAUGCCGGGUACUCUAGAAAGACUGCCGUCGUCAAGACGGAGGAAGGUGGGGAUGACGUCAAGUCAUCAUGGCCCUUAUGCCCCGGGCUGCACACGUGCUACAAUGGUCGGUACAGACGGAAGCGAAGCCGAGAGGUGAAGCGAAUCCUAAAAAGCCGAUCUCAGUUCGGAUUGGAGGCUGAAAUUCGCCUCCAUGAAGUUGGAAUCGCUAGUAAUCGCGGAUCAGCAAUGUCGCGGUGAAUAUGUUCCCGAGCCUUGUACACACCGCCCGUCAAGCCACCCAAGCAGGAUGCACCCGAAAACAUUAUAUCUAACCAGGGCAACUUGGAGGAAAAUGUUGAAGGAGUGUUUUGUGAGGAGGACUAAGUCGUAACAAGGUAGUCGUAGGAGAACCUGCGGCUGGAUCACCUCCUUUCU
rnacentral:rRNA from 1 species